rnacentral:rRNA from 1 species
GAGUCGCGAGAAUUAGAUUCUCGGCGUACCGCUCAGUAACACGUGCUUAACCUGCCCUAUGCUGGAUAAUAACCUCGGGAAACUGACAAUAAUGAUCCAUAGUUCACUACGCCUGGAACGGUGAGUGGAUGAAAGCUCCGGCGGCAUAGGAUGGGCCUGCGGCGUAUCAGGUUGUAGGGGGUGUAACGUACCCUCUAGCCCUCUACGCGUACGGGUGUUGGGAGACAUAGCCCGGAGAUGGAUUCUGAGACACGAAUCCAGACCCUACGGGGUGCAGCAGGCGCGAAAACUUGGCAAUGCGAGAAAUCGUGACCAGGGAACUCCAAGUGCAUCGGGUAAGACCGGUGCUUUUCUUGACUCUAAAUAGGUCUUGGAAUAAGGGGUGGGUAAGGACGGUGCCAGCCGCCGCGGUAAUACCGGCGCCUCAAGUGGUAGUCGCUUUUAUUGGGCCUAAAACGUCCGUAGCCGGUCUGAUACAUUCGUGGGUAAAUCAACCAGCUCAACUGGUUGAAUUCUGCGAGGACGGUCAGACUUGGGACCGGGAGAGGUGUGGGGUACGCUCAGGGUAGGGGUAAAAUCCUGUCCUCCUGAGCGGACCACCUGUUGCGAAGGCGCCACACUAGAACGGAUCCGACGGUCAGGGACGAAGCCUAAGGGCACGAACCGGAUUAAAUACCCGGGUAGUCCUAGGUGUAAACGCUGUGGACUUGAUGUUGGGGGUGCUCCGAACACUCUCAGUGUCCGAAGCGAA